UCUGGGUUUAUCCCAGCGGUCUCGUUAGAAAGAUUUAACUAACGACGGGGGCCCGCACAAGCAGCGGAGCAUGUGGUUUAAUUCGACGCGACGCGAAGAACCUUACCAAGGCUUGACAUGCACCGGAAUGUCGUAGAAAUACGGCAGCCCUUCGGGGCCGGUGCACAGGUGGUGCAUGGCUGUCGUCAGCUCGUGUCGUGAGAUGUUGGGUUAAGUCCCGCAACGAGCGCAACCCCCGUCGUUAGUUACCAGCGGGUUAUGCCGGGCACUCUAGGGAGACUGCCGGUGUCAAACCGGAGGAAGGUGGGAUGACGUUCGUCUGAC
rnacentral:misc_RNA from 1 species